rnacentral:rRNA from 1 species
UCGGGAAUUUUGGGCAAUGGGCGAAAGCCUGACCCAGCAACGCCGCGUGAGGGAUGAAGUAUUUCGGUAUGUAAACCUCGAAAGAAUGGGAAGAAUAAAUGACGGUACCAUUCAUAAGCUCCGGCUAACUACGUGCCAGCAGCCGCGGGAAUACGUAGGGAGCAAGCGUUGUUAGGAUUUACUGGGCGUAAAGGGCGCGUAGGCGGCGCGGUAAGUCACUUGUGAAAUCUCUGAGCUUAACUCAGAACGGCCAAGUGAUACUGCUGGGCUAGAGUGCGGAAGAGGCAACCGGAAUUCUUGGUGUAGCGGUGAAAUGCGUAGAUAUCAAGAGGAACACCUGAGGCGAAGGCGGGUUGCUGGGCCGACACUGACGCUGAUGCGCGAAAGCCAGGGGAGCAAACG